rnacentral:tRNA from 1 species
CCUGUCACCUUAGGUCGAUCGGUACCUCUGAUUAAUCUAAAAGCAAGCUCAUUUCGAUGUGUGGCUAAAAGAUUGAUUUCUGUUCCUAAACUUGUCUAGGUCACACCCCGCAAGGUUUCUCCUGGGCCAUUAGCUCAGGUGGUUAGAGCGCACCCCUGAUAAGGGUGAGGUCCCUGGUUCAAGUCCAGGAUGGCCCAUUCGGUGUUGGGGGUUUAGCUCAGUUGGUAGAGCGCCUGCUUUGCAAGCAGGAUGUCAGCGGUUCGAGUCCGCUAACCUCCACUGACCGACCUCUUACAGCGAUUAAGUUGUGAGAACUUUUGCGAGAUGUGCGACUUAGGCUUUGUUUUUGUUGAAAGAACCUAGCUUCCUAUCAUUCCUCAAUUCUAAUGCAAUUAUUAGAACUGGUUGAAAGGAUGCUGGGCUCACUAAGACUUAAAGAUCUUAGAGAAGUUCAGCAGAACCUUGACAACUGCAUAGGUAAGUCUGGAAAGAAUAAAGCAUCUCAUGGAUGCAUUGUUCUUGAAUGAUAAAUCAAACAAAGCUGUUAAAACAGAUCUUGUUUAUUUAUUAUUCAACUAAUAAUGUUUAAUUCUUGAGCAAGAGCUGAGACUCUAUAAGCCUCUUUUGGUAUUUAAUCAAUGCCAAGAGUUUGAUUUGUUAUUCACGAAUGCUAUUAGAAAAAGUUCAGAAUCUUCUGAAUCCUUUGACUAAAUAGAUUUUUGAAUUUCAGAGAAUAUGUUUUCAACAAACUAAAGCUUUAUAGAGAUUAAUUGGUCAAGCUACAA